CCUACGGGUGGCAGCAGUAGGGAAUAUUGCUCAAUGGGGGAAACCCUGAAGCAGCAACGCCGCGUGGAGGAGGAAGGUUUUAUGAUUGUAAACUCCUUUUUUUAGAGGAGAUUAUGACGGUCUCUAACGAAUAAGCACCUGCUAACUCCAUGCCAGCAGCCGCAGUAAUACGGAGGGUGCACGCGUUACUCGGAAUCACUGGGCGUAAAGGGUUCGGAGGCGGGGUAAUUAGUCAGAUGUGAAAUCCUGUAGCUUAAAUACAGACCUGCAUUUGAAACUGUUCCUCUGGAGUGUGGGAGAGGUAGGUGGAAUGCGUGGUGUAGGGGUAAAAUCCGUAGAGAUCACGCGGAAUACUCAUUGCGAAGGCGACAUGCUGGAACAUUACUGACGCUGAUGCACGAAAGCGUGGGGAGCAAACAGGAUUAGAUACCCUUGUAGUC
rnacentral:rRNA from 1 species